CGAAAUGCGAUAAGUAGUGUGAAUUGCAGAAUUCAGUGAAUCAUCGAAUCUUUGAACGCACAUUGCGCCCUAUGGUAUUCCGUAGGGCAUACCUGUUCGAGCGUCAUUUACACCUUCAAGCCUUGCUUGGUGUUGGGUGACUGUGGCCCCUUUGGGGCCACUCGCCUUAAAGUCAUUGGCGGCCGGUUCGUUGGCUUUGUAGCGCAGCACAAUUGCGUCCUCGAAGCCGCUGGACCAGCUCCCAGAAGCUAAUUUUAAAUGUUUGACCUCGAAUCAGGUAGGGAUACCCGCUGAACUUAAGC
rnacentral:misc_RNA from 1 species